rnacentral:tRNA from 2 species
GGGCGGGUAGCUUAGUUGGUUAAAGCAGUGGACUCAUAAUCCAUUGACCGUGGGUUCAAGUCCCACCCCGCCCACCA